GUGUGUUUAUAGCUCCUCCUCAGCCAGAGGAAGAGGCCGGGGCCAGGGAAGCUGCAGCUGGCUGCUUGUUGGAUGACACAAGCUGGAUGUGUGAGAAAGCAACAGCACUGACAACCUAUGUGGUAAUCCUUGGCUUCUGAAGAGGACCUGUACUAGGCAUUUCAUGGCUGCCCCCAAGCUCCUGUGUCUACCGCUGUUAUCUCUACUCGCCCUACUGGUCGCUUACUGGUUCCGCCAUGUGGAAGAGGACAGCUUACAUAACCGGUUGGACAUGGUGUUAUCAUCUCUGCUUCGAGCUGAGCAAAAAGUUGGACUGGAUGUCCAUCGUCCUCCGCGUAUAGCCAUUGGUUUUGGCGGCUGCCUGGAUAUCAUUGUAGAUGGUGUAGCUGUGAUGAAGGAAGCAGCUGUAGAGCCUAGUUAUAAACCGAUUCACCAUAACUUCAUUGAGACGGAGACACAGUUGGCUGAGAGUUUUGCCUAUUUCUUUCCUCCUGGUGCAGCUUCAGAGAGGUAUGUGUCCAACGAGACAUUGUUUACCAAGCUUGUAGAUGCCUCUAAAAGACUUCCUGAAAUGCGCUGGGCUCUGGGUGGGAAUGCUCCAGUCAUGGCAAACCGCUUAGCUGCUGAAGGAUGUGAUGUUCUACUAGGGGGUCGUCUGAGUCAAGAAGAAGCUAGUGUGUUAUCUGAGCGCAUCAAAGUUGCUGGUGAGCCAGUAGAAGAUGCUGACAUCCACCUUAUUAUGGAAUAUCCAACUGGUGCCAGAUGGGGAGACCACAUCUCUCGAAGAGCCAACAGGUAUAUCGUACACAGUGACUCUCACAAUCCCAUGAUUGACUCUUUGGAAGAUUUUAGAUCACAACUGGAAAGUUUUAUGCCUGAUCUUCUUGUGAUUGGUGGGCUACAGAUGAUGGAUAGUUUCCCCUUCAAACCAGGUCAGCGUGAAGCAAGAUUGAAGGCGAUUCAAGAAAUGGUGUUGUCCAUGGACCAAAAGAUAGGUUGCCACUUUGAGAUGGCAUCCUUUGUGGAGCAAAACCUCAUGAGGGACUUGAUAGAGUAUGUCAUACCCUAUUCUGAUUCUUUGGGAAUGAAUGAGCAAGAACUUCCAAAUCUCCUCAGUUUAAUUAAAGGGGGUAACAUUACAGUCUUAUCUGACCCUUAUCCACGUGUGGCUUCCAUUCUUGACCAAAUGCGUGAACUUUAUCAGCUGCUUGGAUCCAGGGAACUUAAAGAGGGUGAGAGGAGGCUGACCCGGCUACAUGUCCAUACAAUAGCAUUUCAAGCUAUGAUGGUGACCAAAGGCUCUAUGUGGAAGAACACGAUGUCUGCUACAGCAAAAGCAUCUCUUACUGCUAAUAGACAUGUGUGUGGUUCUGCACAUAUUGACACUGGCAAGGCUAAACUCAUCAUGGAUGAUUCUUUCUCAAUCAGCAGAGAAGAUGGCAGCCAGAGGAUACCUUUUAAGGAAAACCGUCCUGUGUCUUGUUGGGAAGAGGACACUUACGAGAUCUGUCUAGCACCUGUCUUAGUCUGUACUGAAGUUUUCCAGACAGCAGGUGGAGGAGACAAUAUAUCUGCUGCAGGACUGGUGUUGCAAAUCUGAUCUCAUAGUAGCUUCAUGAUUUUGAGAAGGCCAACAUUCCACAACUAGAGAAGUAUGUGUAAUUUUAGAUUUAUGUUUGUUUGCAGGGA